rnacentral:lncRNA from 1 species
UCCAUUGCUGGUGGGAUUACCAGCUUGUACAACCACUCUGGAAAUCAGUCUGGAGGUUCCUCAGAAAAUUGGACAUAGUACUACCGGUGGAGCCCACAAUACUUCUCCUGGGCAUAUACCCAAAAUAUGUUCCAACUGGUAAUAAGAACACAUGCUCCACUAUGUUCAUAGCAGCCUUAUUUAUAAUAGCCAGAAGCUGGAAAGAACCCAGAUGUCCCUCAACAGAGGAAUGGAUACAGAAAAUGUGAUACAUUUACACAAUGGAGUACUAUUCAGCUAUUAAAAACAAUGAAUUUAUUAAAUUCUUGGGCAAAUAGAUAUAUCUGGAGGAUAUCAUCCUUAGUGAGGUAAUCCAAUCACAAAAGAAAUCACUAGAUAUGCACUCACUGAUAAGUGGAUAUUAGCCCAGAAACUUAGAAUACCCAAGAUACAAAACACAAGAAAAUCAAGAAGAAGGAAGACCAACGUGUGGAUACUUCAUUCCUCCUUAGAAUAGGGAACAAAAUACCCAUGAAAGGAGUUACAGAGACAAAGUUUGGAGCUAAGUCAAAAGGAUGGACUAUCCAGAGACUACCCCACCCGGGGACCCAUCCCAUAAUCAGUCACCAAACCCAGACAUUAUUGCAUAUGCCAGCAAGAUUUUGCUGAAGGGACCCUGAUAUAGCUGUCUCAUAAGAGGCUAUGCCAGUGCCUGGCAAAUACAGAACUGGAUGCUCACAGUCAUCUAAAGGAUGAAUCACAGGGCCCCCAAUGGAGGAGCUAGAGAAAGUACCCAAGGAGCUGAAGGGUUCUGCAACCCUUUUGGAGGAACAACAAUAUGAACUAACCAGUACCCCCAGAGCUCAUGUCUCUAGCUGCAUACGUAGCAGAAGAUGACCUAGUCGGCCAACAUUGGGAAGAGAGGCUCCUAGGUCUUGCAAACUUUAUAUGCCCCAGUACAGGGGAACUCCAGGGCCAAGAAGUGGGAGUGGUUUGGCAGGGGAGCAGGGCGCGGGGGAGAGUAUAGGGAACUUUCAGGAUAGCAUUUGAAAUGUAAAUAAAGAAAAUAUCUAAUAAAAUAAAAUAAUAAC